rnacentral:rRNA from 1 species
AUCCUGGCUCAGGAUGAACGCUGGCGGCGUGCUUAACACAUGCAAGUCGAACGAAGCACUUUUGAUUGAUUCUUCGGAUGAAAGAGAUUGUGACUGAGUGGCGGACGGGUGAGUAACGCGUGGGUAACCUGCCUCAUACAGGGGGAUAACAGUUAGAAAUGACUGCUAAUACCGCAUAAGCGCACGGUAUCGCAUGAUACAGUGUGAAAAACUCCGGUGGUAUGAGAUGGACCCGCGUCUGAUUAGCUAGUUGGUGGGGUAACGGCUCACCAAGGCAACGAUCAGUAGCCGGCCUGAGAGGGUGAACGGCCACAUUGGGACUGAGACACGGCCCAAACUCCUACGGGAGGCAGCAGUGGGGAAUAUUGGACAAUGGGGGAAACCCUGAUGCAGCGACGCCGCGUGAGUGAAGAAGUAUUUCGGUAUGUAAAGCUCUAUCAGCAGGGAAGAAAAUGACGGUACCUGACUAAGAAGCCCCGGCUAACUACGUG